AAAGGUUAAACUUCUGACACACCGAUUCAUGUGACACAACAACAUGACAUUGAUUUCAGUGAAGCGCUUCUACGGGUGCAGAGCAAACAAAAGCGCCUCUGGGAGCAGUUGUGUGCGACUGCCUCAUUCUUGGCCGUGAUGACUUUGGACGUCCAGUGUGCGAGCCAGUAGUCGAUGGCCACCAUGAGGGAGUGUUUGAGGAGCUGGGACAGCAGGAGCAGGAGGAGCAGCAGGAGGCCAGCAGAGCUCAGUUUGAGAAUGCCUUCCUGCAUCAGGUGAUCACUGAGGUGGAUAUCCAGUGCUGAGAAAGGAUCAUCCUACAAGAAAAGUAAAUAAAC